rnacentral:rRNA from 1 species
UACGGGGGGAGCAAGCGUUGUUCGGAUUUACUGGGCGUAAAGGGCGCGUAGGCGGUCGUGACAAGUCACUUGUGAAAUCUCCGGGCUUAACUCGGAACGGUCAAGUGAUACUGUCGGACUAGAGUACAGAAGGGGCAACUGGAAUUCUCGGUGUAGCGGUGAAAUGCGUAGAUAUCGGAAGGAACGCCGGUGGCGAAAGCGACGGACUGGAUCUCUUCUGACGCUGAGGCGCGAAAGCCAGGGGAGCAAACGGG